rnacentral:lncRNA from 10 species
GACUCACCUAGAGUCACUGAGAAAUCAUAUGCAUGUAUAUGAUUUUAAAAGGACUUCACAAUUAAAUACAGGAAGAUGGAUAAUAUGAAGCUUUUGCUUUCAAAGUCUUAUAAAGGUGCAGCAAGUGUGGCAAUAAGCAGACUGAGGAAGGCAUAAAGGGUCUGAUGUGAAGCAGAGAAGGCAGAGGUGGCUGAGGGUUUGGAGUAAAAUCGAGAAUGGCCAUGAAGAUUUGACCAAGGAGCUCUGAGAUUGAGAAGGAAUUAGAACGAAGUCCACAGGGAAGUUGAGAAAAUUGGCAGAAAAUUUGAAGAGGAGGGUUUCAACAGGAGAUGAUCAAAAUUAAAAAAAAAAGAAAGAAAGAAAAC